rnacentral:piRNA from 1 species
UGAACAUUUGCAAGGGAUAUUAGUCUCAGA